GAGACUGAUUGGUCCACUAUGGGUUUUGUACUUGUCAAUGAACCUGUGUAAAUGUCUUACUGACGUGCCUGGGUGCAGAGGAUGGAUGAAAAAAAAAAAAAAGGCAGACGAAUAAAUAAAGGGAAAGCUUCCUUUUCAGAAGGUGCCUGGAAAGAUGAGUAGAAAAGGAUUAGAACAAGGUGGGCAAAGGGGUUUUGCUGUCUGAAACAAGAUUGGAAGGAAGCUCGGAGAAGAAAGAUUUGGUCUGCAUGGUGUCUUGGAAGCAUUCUAAAAAGAAU
rnacentral:lncRNA from 10 species